UCCUAGCUGGCUCAGUGGGUAGAGCAUGUGACUCUUGAUCUCAGGGUCAUAAGUUUGAGCUCCAUGUUAGGCA
rnacentral:tRNA from 1 species